GACGAACGCUGGCGGCGUGCUUAACACAUGCAAGUCGAACGGAGAGCGAUGGAAGCUUGCUUCUAUCAAUCUUAGUGGCGAACGGGUGAGUAACGCGUAAUCAACCUGCCCUUCAGAGGGGGACAACAGUUGGAAACGACUGCUAAUACCGCAUACGAUCUAACCUCGGCAUCGAGGAUAGAUGAAAGGUGGCCUCUACAUGUAAGCUAUCACUGAAGGAGGGGAUUGCGUCUGAUUAGCUAGUUGGAGGGGUAACGGCCCACCAAGGCGAUGAUCAGUAGCCGGUCUGAGAGGAUGAACGGCCACAUUGGGACUGAGACACGGCCCAGACUCCUACGGGAGGCAGCAGUGGGGAAUCUUCCGCAAUGGACGAAAGUCUGACGGAGCAGCGCCGCGUGAGUGAUGACGGCCUUCGGGUUGUAAAGCUCUGUUAAUCGGGACGAAAGGCCUUCUUGCGAAUAGUGAGAAGG
rnacentral:rRNA from 1 species